CUAACUGUCACUAUCAAUUGAUUAAGCUAUUCACUCUCUGUACAAUAGAUGACGCUUAAACCCAGACAGCUUUUAGGGAAACACUUGUGACCUUUUCUCAUUGGGUUAAGCCAUGGAAGAAGAAUAGCCAGAAGUUAAUUAAAGCUUACAUUUCUCUGUGUUGGUAGUGGUAGUGGUAGUGUCUGGGGUGGAAAAGUAGGCCUAACUAAUGAAAGUACCACGGUCAGAUUCCUAAUGAUGUGAAUUAUUUGCAAACAGGGCCAGUUUCUUUUCAAACAAGACACACUGAUUUGGCGUUGGAGAUAUAUGAUAAGAUGAACACACAUAGGCCUAUUGUCUCUGUCCAUUCUUAGCCUGUCAUUUCUGUUAUUUGUGUGGUAUUAAAAAAGCUCCCGCUAAUAUGUAGAAUUAUGUAGAAUUGCAUGAAAUGUUUAUAAAAAGCAAAACAAUUAUUGGACCUGCAAAUACGAUGAUAGAUUCAUGCAACGCUGUUUCUAUAAAUAUAUCUUUCCACCCCUACUCUAGUGCCCGGUGGUCUGCAAACCCACAACCUUCUGGCUCCCAGCCCUGUGUGCUAUCACAAUUCCAAUAAGUGAGGGUAAAGUUUGGAUAUGUUCUCUGCUAUCCACUUUGUUUGAAUUAUUAUUUUGAGUAAAGGGGGAGGUCACUUUUUACUUUUAUUGUUGUGUUUCAGGACGGUUUAGGUCAAAUAUAUUUUGCUGAAGGGAGGUCCAUCCAUUUUCAUUUCAGAGAGGUCUGAUUUUCUCCAUGCAACCCGUUUCAUGCAUAACGUUCACUCCCUAACAUGUUACUAUCGAUGUUCCCGCACAGAUUUCACUUGGUUUCCCAAAUGAAGCACUGGGAAGCUGCAGGAACAGGGUUGGAGAGCCCACGGCAUACAGAAUGUGUGAAAGCACAGGUGAGAUUUAUGUGGAGCAAAACCUAAGAAAUCUGCAUGGUUCCUUGGUGACAACCUCUGUGGUGUGUGCUGGGACCCCGAGGGGACUUCAGAAUCUGCUGGAGGCUGCAAUGUAUUUCUUCUUUGAAAAGCACCUUGGGGAUCAUCUGUUCACUUUCCCAGGUUGCUGUGGCACAUGCUUUAUUAACUCCAAAGUACACGUGCUAUUUCAACUGUUCUGGCUCUGUGCUCUCCGACACCACGUGGCAGUUCUUUCUUUUGUUCCUUUGUUAAACCUUUACAUAGUACAUAAAAAAUAUUAUUGUGUUAAUUUCCUCUAACAAAGAAUAUGGAACAUGUUGAUUUGUGUGAUUGUAUUUGUCUCUUUGAAUAUGCUGCGUAAUUAUGCCCUUAAUGGCUGUUUUGUGUAAAUACAGUAUGUUAAGAUACUGUAUUUAAAUGGGAGUCUUAAUAAAGUCCCUUACUGUGACUGAAUGAAAUAUUGACUGCCUGUGCAUUCAUCCAUCCACAUGUUCACCACGACACCCUGGUGAGUUUAAACGUUGCUUGGCAGUAAGUGCCACAGGCAUGCCGUGUAGG
rnacentral:lncRNA from 13 species